CCCCCCCUCUCAGUCUCUUGUAUCAGAUGACAGUGACCUGGAAGUUGAUUUCCCUUCAUGCUCAAUUUCACCCAAGAGCAGCUAAGUUAGGAACCACAAAAGGAUGUGGUGGGUGACACUAAUCGAUCCUGCCUCUGAUAUAAAAAUACCAGCACUACGGAAAGCCUGUUUCCUGUGGCCAUGGUCAACACAAGGGCAAGCUAGAAUUUCUGUUCUGGGUCUGGGAAGAACCAGUCUAUGCUUUGGGUCUCAGGUGCCCACUAGCGUUCCCAGCCAAGCAGAGAGACGGUCCUUUGGUUCCUGGUGACUCCCUAAUCACCUGGGGGCUUUGUUCUCAAGCAUAAUGGAGUCCUUGCACGGGGAGUGGCCCUGCCUAUGGACAGUGGUUGCCGCUGGCUUUGAAGAGAUACAAAGAGGGUCUAAGUCUCUGAGACCUGUGGAUCCCAGACCACAUAAUAAGAGCUAGCAGGUGGCGCCGAGGCAAGCAGAAGACUGGCGGGGCCAAGGCCAGCGGGCAGCACCUGGACAUUCCAGGCUAUUCUUCGUGUUCUUGGAGAAGCAAGCAACCCAUGUGGCCCACCAGUUCUAUUUCAGGCCAAAUCUGCCUCCCUGCCAACUUCCCUCACCAAAUCCAACUUCUCCCUGGGCCAUCAAACAAGGCUAAUUUCUUUCCCUUCAAGUAUUUAAGUGAAAUUAAAAAAAAAAAAAGUCUCUUCCCAAGUUUCUUGUCCUCUAAGCUAAACACAACUUGCUUGCCAUGCUUCACAGGUCAUGAUUUCUUGUCCUCAAUAAAACUAAUUAUACUCAUAAAAGGAAUGCAGCAGAGAGGGGAAGACUUAGCACAGAGAGGAUUCUUUGCAAGCCAUUUACAGGCUCAAUGCAAUUCCAGGA